UUUAGCUUGCUGUGUGAAAAUAAAUGUACAAAAGCUAUCAGUGGUUGGUAUGUGCCAGGCAAGAUGCAGACACUUUCAGGGGCAGUUUUCUCUGUCCUUGCAGAUGCCUCAUAGGGGCAGGUGUGGGCUGUUGAAGAGUAAGGCUCGGAAGAGUUCAGGCAGUAGACAGGGUUGCAGAGCAGUCCCCUGGUCAAACCCAGACUCGCCUGCCUGGCACCCAGGACCAUGCUCUGACCCCCCCCACCUCACCCCCACCCCACAGCCAUGAUCCUGGGGGUCUCUUUGCUGUCAUCUGUUCAUGACACUUAUCUUAAGUCAGAAACUAUGUGACCCUUUACCGUUGGAAACAAGACAGUGCCUUGAAAUGUGGGCAAAGUUUUGCAAGAUAAGUAGUUUCCUACUAAGCAUCUACUCUGUGUAGAUUCUAUGCCAUGAACUAGAGAUACAGAAAUGAGCGGAACAAAUGCUUGCCUUGUGGGGUGGGUGGGUGGGUGGGUGGGUGGGUGGGGUUGUAGAGGGGUCGGGGAAGGACUGGCCUAUGAGAAAGUAAUUGAAGAGACAAUGUGGCGAUAGUUAGCAGAGAGGAGUGAAGGAGACGCUAUGAGGACACAGAGGGAUCAUAAAGCUGCAGACCCAACACCAGGUGCUUUACCUGCACAGGUAUGAUUGAUCUGCACAGCAGCCCUGUGUGGGAGACACCUUUCGUGUCUCCAUUUUGCAGAUGAGGGAACUGAGGAGUGGGAAGACCUACCCGAGCCCACACUGGGUAACUGUCAGAGCAGAACACGCCUGGGCGCUCCCAUUUUCAGCCCCUGCAGGUGAGCGGUACCUUAUGCCGCUUAAAUCCCUCUGGCUGCUCUCUUUGGGCUGGCUCAGGUUUCUUGGCCUACAACAGGGGACAGGGCGUAAGCUUGACAGAUGGGUGUGGUUCCAGCUGACCGCGUGUGCUUUGAGGUCAGGGUUUCCAGGCUGCGGAGAGAAACAGCAUUUCUUCUUUCAGAAUGACUAAGGACUUUGGUGGCAGCUUCCGGGUGACAGGAGAUUUCUUGUUUGGGCCAGGGUCCAAUAAAAAAAAUGUUCCCUCUUGUUGGCUCUGAAGCUGCUGACUGGUGUUUCCCCCUCCUGUGAAGUGGAUGGACCUAAACUAAGGUGGAUGGGCUCUGAGGCCAGACCCACCUGUGAGCUGCAGGGCUGGGGCUGGGCCUGUCUCAGGCAAGUGAUGGAGGCCGAGGAGGCUGCAGCAGGCAGCCUAAGCCAGGGCGGUUUCUCCCUCUGUCUUCCCACCCCUGCCGCAGGGCCACCCUCCGGGGAAGGCUGGCCCUCCCCCAGCAUGUGGGAAGUUCUCAUGAGAAAAGGAAUCCUGGCUGGACAAUGAGCUUCCUGUCUGACGGCUGGGAAGUUGUGUUUUGGAGAAGAGGAAGGUUGCAAAUGGUGUGAGAAAUCGUCUCUUCCCUCUCACUGCGGCCGGUUUUACACUUUCGACUAUUUGAGUUGGGGUGUCAGGAAGGCAGAAGGCCGGGGGAGAGCCGUGGACUGAAGAGCCCUUGGCUACCUGUUGAGAAAUGGAGCUCCUCCUGCCUGUUUCCUUGCUCACACCCGCCCUGACCGAUGCAGCAGCUUCUGCACAGGCAAGAUGUUCUGGCUAAGCCUCUCAUCCUGUGCUCAAUUCAGAAAGCACAGUGGCCGUAGGACUCUUAUCGGUGGUGUGGUGGAGACACCGCCCGCUUCAGACAGAUUUGCAAAGGUCAGAAGAGAUUGCCAAGGUCAUCUGGUUCAGUGCCUUCAUGUACUGAAACUGAGGCCCAGAGCGGCUAGUGUCCACAGGCCGCACCCAGACUGUCUGCCACUGGGCUCCCCUCCCGGAUAUGGGACUGGGAGGAGAAGCUGUGCUCAGAAAUUCUUUGUUCCAGCCCACUGCUGCUGUGACCCUGAACAAGUACCGCCCCCUGCUGAGCGACUGGGAGCAAGUUUCUUCACCUCUCAAUUUGCUCACCUGUCUAAUGUAUAUGCUUUUUACUGGGGUUUUGUGACGCUCUAACGAUGAGUUAUACGUGGAAAGUGCUUAGGCUACUGCUUGGUGUGUGGUAGGUGGCUGAUAAGUAUGUUAGUACUGAGAUUUAAAGGAGGCCUCAGAAGAAACCUUUUGACUAAUCGGCUGUGAUUACAUCCAUCCCCCUUCCAACCCCAACUCCUGUUUGCUUGUGUCUGGCAUGCUCAGUUCCAACUUUCUUGAGGAGAAUCACGUCCCUGUUGAACCAGCCUCUUUGCAGUGUAUAGCAUGACUUUCCCUUUCACACACGCAGUGGCUGGAUGUUCCAAAAACCGCAGAGGGUGAGCCCCUCAGCGGAACCUGCAGCCACGUCCUGCCCAGCCAGCCCAGGAGCCCUCGUGCCUGUGGAAUCCAGCCUCCUCAUUUACAAAUGUAUGGUGGGGGCAAAUUGCUCAACUCAGCCGAGACUCCCUGUUCUUAUUUGUAAAAUGAAGAAAAUACAGCACCUGCUUCAUGUACAGAGAGAGUUCCUGGCCCAUUAAUGAACUGUUUAUGGUCAUUAUCUUCCUUGCCUUAUGUCCUUCCCCCCCACCAACCCCUACACGUGCUCUCUUGAACACCUUUUUUCUCAGUUUGCAUCUUUUCUUCUGGCUCUCUCUGCUCCCAACACACCAUUUAGGGCUAGAAGUAGAAAUUGGACCUUCAUAUACCAAGAAAAGGUUUUGAGAGCAAGCACACAGCGGUGCUUUUUAAAACAACAAGAAGGGACCCUCAGUGCUCAGUGUGCUCUCUGUCCACCUCUGCUGUCGGGCUGGACGCUCCAUGCCCUGGGUGUGGCUCCGAGCCCCUCCCCCAUUUUUGGGUCCCAGACUCAUCCACUGACUCCCGGACACAGACCCGCCCUGCCCUGAGCGCCUGUGCUGUCCAGCGCAGUGGUCACUAGCCCCAUGUGGCUUCUGAGAACCUGAAAUGUGGUUACUCUGACUGUGACUGUAAAGACCUACUAAAAAAUGCAUAUAAAUUAUCUCAUAAAUGUUCAUGUCAAUUGUAUGUUGAGGUGUAACCAGUAAUCUUUCAUAUAUAUUGGGUUAAAUAAAAUAUAUUAUUAAAAUAAAUCUUACCUGUUUUCUUUUUACCUUUUUAUUGUGGCUACUAGGAAAUUUAAAAUGACCUGCGUGGUCCCAUUGUCUUUCUGCUGGACAGUGCUGACUUAGAUGUGUGGUGUCCAUCCGCUUCUUCCUGCCCUUGGGAUUUUCCGCUCUGUUCCCUGUCUUUGCCCAGAGCGCUCCCCUUCCUCUGGGUGCGGGCAGGGCUCAGGUGAAUGAGGUGUCUGCCCGGAAGGUCGACCAGGCUGAUAGGAAAGCUCAUCUUUGAACAUUUCCUUCUUUGACUGGCGUUGCAGUUUGUUGUGAGCGUGUCUGUGUCCUCCUGGGACCGCCAGCUUUUUGAGGGCAUAGUCCUGUCACAUUCCGUUCCAUGGCCCUCCUUGGGCGUCUUGUGUGGGGAGGCCUGCUUUACUCCUUUGGUGGGAUUGCAGCCAAAUAGGGACACUUACGGUACUGCCUCAGCUCUGCCCCUGAUGAUUGCAACUGCCAUGUGGGUAGCUGGGCUUGGGGAACCUCUUUCUUCUCCCCUAAAUUCCCAGGAAAUCUUUCUCCAGCCACACUUUUCCCAGCAACCUGUCUCUGUGCCCGGGUGAGUUCUACCGCACCGGUUUUGUCUGUCUAAAACGGCGUUAUUUCAGACCCGUGAGCGCACACGGACACAGGCUCUCACGCACGCCCUCAGUCACUUCGUGCAGGAGUUGCCGUGUGUUCUCCACACCUGUCGUUGGCCACACACCUCUUCGGCCGAGACCUUUUAAAAAUGUGCUGGGUAUUUAAAUGUCUGCUUCCCUUCCUCAAGCUGAGCUUCACACGCCCUCCUGCCCACUCUGAUUUUGAAGGGACUCGAGUAUUCAGUUUGUUAAACCGAACAUGGUGACCCCCUGGUCUCUCCUGGAGCUUGUUUUGAUAGGCUUUUUAUGCAGUCUUAUGAAGGUUGGUUCUGUUUUAAUUUGCCUCCUCCUCCUAAAAAGCUGGUCUCCAAAACAACAAAUGCAAAAAACAUUUGAAGGGCAGAUUGCAAGGGUUCUUGUUGGUUUCUACUGAGGGUUUGAGGCUGCGGUGAUGACGCUCACUCAGGUGGAAGUGUCAGCCGCAUUUUGCUUCUCCUCUGUCUGCACCCUCACCAGCUGGACGGACGGUCUGUCACCGAGUGACUGCCGGGUGCCAGGCGUGCUGCCGGGUCCCUGAAGAGUUACGUCACUGCUUCCUGUGCGCACUGGAGGCCUAAGUGGCUGUGAGAGAUAAUGGAAAACAGAGAAGGAAGCUGAGGAGAAUUGAUUUUUUUUUCCUGAAAAUUUCUAUCUUCUGGCUUUCUCCCUCUCUUAAAAGUCAGGCAGCUUUGCCAAAUCAGAUGAGUUCAUUGUCUUCUUGGGGUUAAGAACAGAGCUUGAAACUCCCUCUGCGGACCUGGGGUUGUCAGACAAUGAGCCUGAUGCUCAGAUUAAGUCAGCCUCUUGCCCAAAACAGUAGCUUCAGGAAGCCACUGGAUAAUUUAUUUGCUAUUCCUGAUCUUCUCUUUCCUGUUAACCCCAGGCAUCGCUGAGAGGGUCCUCGCCAACACCUGCCCUUUGCCAGGCCCCUCCCACUGUGCUCAUUGAGCAAGAGGGCCAUUUUUUUCUUGCGUUCUUGAUGUUGUUUGCGUCCUUUUUUUUUUUCCUUCCGAGUCCUCCUCAUUUCUUUCAUUGGAAAGAAUGGGUGGGGGUGGGUGGCCUCUUUGUGAUGCUGAAGCUCAUACACUCUAGUUUGUUUCCUUUGUAUGACCUUCACAGGUCAACAUACAAGAUUUCUGUGCAGUUGACUUUACCAUCUUAGGGUAGCAAUACUGUCAGCUCACUGUAAAGGCGCUCUCUCCCUCUGGCCAUCGUCUGUCGGAUUCAGCUGCCCUUCUCGAGAUGCUGCAGAGGCUCCUCUUUACGCCGGGCUUCACCUUCACUUUCCUGAGUCAGUGCAUGUGCUUCAGACUGCUGCCCCCUCUCCUAAGGGGCCGAAGCCCCACUUGAAAUGCUGCUUCUGCGGUGGGCCUUCCUCGUCUCUCCCACACCGGAUGUGAUCUCCUGCUUUGAGCUCCCUCUCUUGUGGCACCAGUUACACCCUUUGAUGUGUCUUAGAAUAAAUCUGUGUCGGAUAUCUUUGGAAGAAUACAGAAGCUGGUAUAGGGUCUUUGGAGAGAGGAACCGAGUGACUAGGGACCAGGAGAAGGACUUCCUUUGGCCUGUACACUCAUCUUGGCUUUUAAAUUUUAUUCCAUGUGUAUAUGCUUCCUGUGGUUUUUUUCCCUAUAAAAAUAUUAUCUGUGUAACAGAUCCAAUCUAUAAAUAUUGGAGAAUGUUUUUGUAACUACAGAGUAGGGACGUGUCCUUAAGUAAGACACAAAAUCAGGUGCCAUGAAGAAAAUAACUUUCAAAAUAUAUGUGUGUGCUUAUUUGUCAUAGCCCUGUUUGGCUACCAGUACCCAAAGUGUUUUUAUCCUUUUUCAGAGCAUGGGGCAGUGACCCCUCCACAAUAGUUAAUGAAUAUUAGUUGAAAUGAAAUUGAAUUGCCAGUCACUUCCUCGCAGAUUUCACUGGUGAGUGCCAGGUGACCUUCUGGGUCUCGCUCAAAGAUUCUGCAAGGACUCGGAUGUUAAGGGCAGAAAUUCCCAGUGAAGCAGGAGUGGCUUUAGAUUCAGCAGCUCUUCCCCCGAGGGCAUCUUACCCAGCACAUUGGACCCGUGCGUGGGUUCUGCCUGCUUUCUGCCUGCUUUCAGGAGCUGUCCUGGGGUGCUCGGCAUUAAUUAUGCAGCGGAAAUGAACCAAUUAGACACAGUUGGAGGAGAGCGGGAGGGAUUUGUGGCAGGCUUGUUGCCCGAACAAAAGAGGGCAAGUGCAGAGGGCGAGGCAGUUUGCUGGGGUUUCUUUGGAAAUUCAGCUGGCCAGCUCUUUGAAGCACUUGGCUGCAGUAUAAAGAGGCACCAGAGGGAGCGUUUGCAUCUGUCUCCCUCCUGUUCAUGACUCUGGGCGAGGUGGGUGGCUCGGGAACAGCCUGGAGGAGGUUCGCCCCCAGAGGGGACUGCGGAAACUCGUGUGGGCUCGUCUGCGGGUUUCAGAGAAGCUGCCCAGCCGCCUGCUCCCCAUCCCCGCAGCACCCACCCCCGCAGCACCCACCCCAGCUUUGUUCUGUUAAUAGCUCUUUAAAAACAGAGUUUGUCCUCAUCUUAGUGAUAAGCAGCUUGAGGACAGGGAGCUGCCUUCUCCUUUUAGACUUGGAUCCAUCCCCCAGCCUGGCCUGCAGCCGGCUUGCUUAGCUGCGGUUUGUAGGUGGAAGGAAAACCGAGUGAGGUGAGGGGCUGCCGGGGCUCCUCUGAUUGCGAGCGGAGGGUGGGCCUCCGAGCGAGAUCGCCUUGUCGGGGACGGACACAGACUCCAGAUCCGUGAGAGGCGGCGGA